UGGCUUAGUUGGUAGAGCAUGGUCUUUGCAACGCCACGGUUGUGGGUUCGAUUCCCAC
rnacentral:tRNA from 1 species